AUGGACACCAAUCUCUUUGGAAGCACAUCACAGUGGGGCGAAAUGAUCGAUGAGAUGUAUGAUCUUGAUGUACCAGGACCAUCACAUCAAGCAUCUCGUAAUCAAGCGAGUCAGGACAUACCCCAAACACCUCAAGAAAAUCAACAGAGAGGAGUGAGACAAGGGCGUUUCUUUCCCCUCUUCUUCUUUUCUUCAUUGCCUCCUUCUUCUUCUUCCCUUUCAGGUUAUUGUAAUUAUAAUCAUAAUAAGUAUAAAAAAGUGUAA